CAGUUCACAAGCUACGACCUUCAGACAUCGACGUUGUCGCAGGCAUGGGCGACUCUCUCACUGCAGGAAACGCGAUAAAUGCUGCAACUAUAGCCGGUGUCUUCACACAGUACAAAGGUAUCACAUGGAGCAUGGGUGGCGAGAACUCUCUAGAUGAAACAGUCACGAUACCGA